CUAACAGUUCUAAUGAAGUCAGGCCCCGUUUUCCUUGAAUGGGGAUCAGUGGAGCUAUUCCGUGAAGCCUGUCAGCAUUUAAUGAUUAGAUGAAACAUUCAAACGCCUGCUAUGAGAAAUUCAGGCACACUGAUAAAUGGUAAUUCCCAAGUGGAGGUCUUUCUUACAUAGAUCUGCAAAACAUUUAUGCAUGCUCACACUUUCUCCUCUGACACAUACACAUGAGCACCGCCACAUGCAUUUUCUGUCCUCCCACUUUGGACAGAUCUAGAUUUAUGAGUUAAACAUGGCGUGGAGGGUAUUAUCAGCAGACUGAUUGGAAGACAAAACAAAUGGCGGAGUGAUUCAGAGAUUGAGCAGUUUGAGCCAUUGAUUCCUGCACAGCAAAUUCAAAAGUGUUAAAUGUUUUGGUGUUAGUAGACUUUAUGCAAAAGCCGAGUUAAUUUUACCCUUAUAGAGUCAUAUACCGUUUAUGUAACUCUGGGAUGUAUAUUAUUAGUAGUUAAAAUCCAGUGUUAAAACAAAGUGUUUCCGUAUCAAAUCUAGAGAUGUUAAUGUGGAAUCAGUAAGUCUUGACUUCCUAACUCUGAACUCCUACAGCGACUAUAACACUAGAGGAGUUAAUUCACUGACUCCGCCCCGAGACUCACAAGUUCCCACCAAAGCGAAGCGGCAGAAGUCAAGUCAUUCCAGGACAAUUUACUUUCCACAUGUCUGAGUUAUUCACUGCGCUUGGUAAGUAAUUUUUUUCUGAGAUGGUUUCUAACUAUUAUUUUGAGUUGAGAUCAAGCUGUAUGAUAGACAUAACGUUCGCCACACGGCUCGGUGUUAACAUAUUUAGCUUAGCAUGCCGAAUGUUUGCGGAGUAUAAGUGUUCGGAAAAAAUUUCGUCGGUGAACUUUCAGUCAAAUUGUUGGCUAAUGAACAGAUCCGUAAUAAUCUGGACUAUGUUUUUUCAUGAUGUUUACAUAAAUACUGGUCAGAUUUAUCAACCUUUCUGAUAAUUUUUUUUGUAAAAUGCUUUCUCAUGUUGGAUGGAUGGAUGGAUGUUGAAAGCAUUAUUCCUUCUGUUGUGUCUUCUUAUAUACAUCUUGCAGCAUGUUUUAAUCCUUUUAUUGCCUUUUUCUAUGUAUUAGUACCAGUAUGGUUGCGAAUGAAUCGCCAGUUGUCAGCAAUAACCUCACCCUCCUGAAUCUUCCAUGGAUUCUUCGAAGAUUCAAGCUCCAAAAGUGAUUAUAGACCAACACUGGCUAUCGUACUCGGAGACUGAAGACUGACCAAUGCAGUAGAGGAGCACGGUGAUAUCCCUGGCCAAACUUCACCAACAGCCCAACAACCCGAAGACAAUCUGUGUUAGUGAGUGGACAGCUUUUUGGGGGAGUGCAGAGAGGCCCAGUCUCUUAUCAACAGAAACAUAAACUGGGUAAGAAGUGAUGGAUCUGAAUAUCAG